CACGCAGGCGGUCAUACAAGUCAGCUGUUAAAUGCAUGGGCUUAACCGAUGCAUGCGGCUGAAACUGUAUGGCUAGAGUACUGGAGAGGUAAGCGGAAUUCCCGGUGUAGCGGUGAAAUGCGUAGAUAUCGGGAAGAACACCAGUGGCGAAGGCGGCUUACUGGCCAGUAACUGACGCUGAGGUGCGAAAGCCAGGGGAGCGAACC
rnacentral:rRNA from 1 species